AGCUGGGAGGUGCACGGAAGAGCCACGCCACGCACAGCUACGGAGGGGAGAUGCCCCCCAACAAUCCCAAGGAAUUCUCCGGGAAAUUGGCCCAUUAUAAGAAAUCACAUCCAAAUUGAAGAUUUAUUCCAAACAAGAAGAAAAGUCCAAGAUGUGAUAAUUUGAAGAAAAGAGAAAGAGCCAUAUGUUGG